rnacentral:miRNA from 1 species
GUCACCGGGUAGACAUUCAUUCAC